rnacentral:rRNA from 1 species
UACGUAGGCAGCGAGCGUUGUUCGGAGUUACUGGGCGUAAAGCGUGCGUAGGCGGUGUCUUAAGUUUGUUGUGAAAUCUCCCGGCUUAACCGGGAGGGUGCGGCGAAUACUGAGAUGCUGGAGUGCCGGAGAGGUAAGCGGAAUUCCUGGAUGUAGCGGUGAAAUGCGUAGAUAUCAGGAGGAACACCUGCGGUGUAGACGGCUUACUGGACGGUAACUGACGCUGAGGCACGAAAGCGUGGGUAGCAAACAGG